AGGAAUGAAAGUCUCGUCUAAUC
rnacentral:miRNA from 14 species